CACGUAGGGGGCGAGCGUUGUCCGGAUUUAUUGGGCGUAAAGGGCUCGUAGGCGGCUCCGUAAGUCGGGUGUGAAACCUCCAGGCUCAACCUGGAGACGCCACUCGAUACUGCUGUGGCUAGAGUCCGGUAGGGGAGCCUGGAAUUCCUGGUGUAGCGGUGAAAUGCGCAGAUAUCAGGAGGAACACCAGUGGCGAAGGCGGCUUCCUGGACCGGUUCUGACACUGGAGCGCGAAAGCGUGGGGAGCAAACAGG
rnacentral:rRNA from 1 species